AUGAACGCUGGCGGCAGGCCUAACACAUGCAAGUCGAGCGGUAGCACAGGAGAGCUUGCUCUCUGGGUGACGAGCGGCGGACGGGUGAGUAAUGUCUGGGAAACUGCCUGAUGGAGGGGGAUAACUACUGGAAACGGUAGCUAAUACCGCAUAACGUCUUCGGACCAAAGUGGGGGACCUUCGGGCCUCACGCCAUCAGAUGUGCCCAGAUGGGAUUAGCUAGUAGGUGGGGUAAUGGCUCACCUAGGCGACGAUCCCUAGCUGGUCUGAGAGGAUGACCAGCCACACUGGAACUGAGACACGGUCCAGACUCCUACGGGAGGCAGCAGUGGGGAAUAUUGCACAAUGGGCGCAAGCCUGAUGCAGCCAUGCCGCGUGUGUGAAGAAGGCCUUCGGGUUGUAAAGCACUUUCAGCGAGGAGGAAGGGUAGUGUGUUAAUAGCACAUUGCAUUGACGUUACUCGCAGAAGAAGCACCGGCUAACUCCGUGCCAGCAGCCGCGGUAAUACGGAGGGUGCAAGCGUUAAUCGGAAUUACUGGGCGUAAAGCGCACGCAGGCGGUUUGUUAAGUCAGAUGUGAAAUCCCCGCGCUCAACGUGGGAACUGCAUUUGAAACUGGCAAGCUAGAGUCUUGUAGAGGGGGGUAGAAUUCCAGGUGUAGCGGUGAAAUGCGUAGAGAUCUGGAGGAAUACCGGUGGCGAAGGCGGCCCCCUGGACAAAGACUGACGCUCAGGUGCGAAAGCGUGGGGAGCAAACAGG
rnacentral:rRNA from 1 species